rnacentral:rRNA from 1 species
CAGCCGUAAACUAUGCUCGCUAGGUGUCAGGCAUGGCGCGACCGUGUCUGGUGCCGCAGGGAAGCCGUGAAGCGAGCCACCUGGGAAGCACGGCCGCAAGGCUGAAACUUAAAGGAAUUGGCGGGGGAGCACAACAACGGGUGGAGCCUGCGGUUUAAUUGGACUCAACGCCGGACAACUCACCGGGGACGACAGCAAUAUGUAGGCCAGGCUGAAGACCUUGCCUGAAUCGCUGAGAGGAGGUGCAUGGCGUAGACGUCU